UACAGAGGGUGCGAGCGUUAAUCGGAAUUACUGGGCGUAAAGCGUGCGUAGACGGUUAUUUAAGUCGGGCGUGAAAUCCCCAGGCUCAACCUGGGAACUGCGCUCGAAACUGUAGGUCUUGAGUGUCGGAGAGGAUGGCGGAAUUCCUGGUGUAGAGGUGAAAUUCGUAGAUAUUAGGAAGAACACCAAUGGCGAAGGCAGCUCUCGUGGCUUCACCCUGACGCUGAGGCGCGAAAGCGUGGGUACGCAAACAGG
rnacentral:rRNA from 1 species